rnacentral:rRNA from 1 species
GACGAACGCUGGCGGCGUGCUUAACACAUGCGAGUCGAACGGUAAGGCCCUUCGGGGUACACGAGUGGCGAACGGGUGAGUAACACGUGGGUGAUCUGCCCUGCACUUCGGGAUAAGCCUGGGAAACUGGGUCUAAUACCGGAUAGGACCACUGCCUGCAUGGGUGGUGGUGGAAAGCUUUUGCGGUGUGGGAUGGGCCCGCGGCCUAUCAGCUUGUUGGUGGGGUGAUGGCCUACCAAGGCGACGACGGGUAGCCGGCCUGAGAGGGUGACCGGCCACACUGGGACUGAGAUACGGCCCAGACUCCUACGGGAGGCAGCAGUGGGGAAUAUUGCACAAUGGGCGCAAGCCUGAUGCAGCGACGCCGCGUGAGGGAUGACGGCCUUCGGGUUGUAAACCUCUUUCAGCACCGACGAAGCGCAAGUGACGGUAGGUGCAGAAGAAGGGCCGGCCAACUACGUGCCAGCAGCCGCGGUAA